CUUUGGGAUCUUCAGACAAUCUCGUGUGCCCUCUUGCCUUUAGUUCCCUUACACAGAAUGUGGUCAUUUUGAUAUGACUGAAGUCACAGAACUGUUGAUCAUCCCAACAGCCAGCCAAGCAGAAUGUUCAUUGAAAUGUUCAAGACUGGAAUGAAGAUGAUGGUGGAAAAGUCAACAACACCAUAUAGGUAAUAUUAUUGUCCACAGUAAUGACAUGAAAGAGAAAUGAC
rnacentral:lncRNA from 1 species